rnacentral:ncRNA from 1 species
GAAAGAUUAAUAAAUGUAAAAGGAACUCGGCAAACUUAAACCCCGCCUGUUUACCAAAAACAUCACCUCUAGCAUUACCAGUAUUAGAGGCACCGCCUGCCCAGUGACGCAAGUUAAACGGCCGCGGUAUCCUGACCGUGCAAAGGUAGCAUAAUAAUUUGUUCCUUAAUUAGGGACUUGUAUGAAUGGCAUCACGAGGGUUUAACUGUCUCUUACAUUCGAUCAAUGAAAUUGACCUUUCCGUGAAGAGGCGGAAAUAACACAAUAAGACGAGAAGACCCUAUGGAGCUUAAAUUAAUAUUCCAACUUAAACAACUUCAAAUCUAAUCGAUGUAAAAUCUGCAACCACUGGAAUAAACAUUUUGGUUGGGGUGACCUCGGAGCAUAAAAAAACCUCCGAAGGACUAACAUUAAGACCAACUAGUCCAAAUUAUAAAUGUCCAAAUAUUGACCCAGAAAUAUUCUGAUCAUGAACCAAGUUACCCUAGGGA